rnacentral:rRNA from 1 species
UUGAACGCUGGCGGAAUGCUUUACACAUGCAAGUCGAGCGGCAGCGCGGGGCAACCUGGCGGCGAGCGGCGAACGGGUGAGUAACACAUCGGAACGUACCUAAUUGUGGGGGAUAACACAUCGAAAGAUGUGCUAAUACCGCAUAAGUCCUGAGGGAGAAAGCGGGGGAUCGCAAGACCUCGCGCGAAUAGAGCGGCCGAUGUCCGAUUAGCUAGUUGGUGAGGUAAAGGCCCACCAAGGCGACGAUCGGUAGCUGGUCUGAGAGGACGACCAGCCACACUGGGACUGAGACACGGCCCAGACUCCUACGGGAGGCAGCAGUGGGGAAUUUUGGACAAUGGGGGCAACCCUGAUCCAGCCAUUCCGCGUGAGUGAAGAAGGCCUUCGGGUUGUAAAGCUCUUUCGGCAGGAACGAAAAGGUGCGGGCUAAUACCCUGCAUCAAUGACGGUACCUGAAGAAGAAGCACCGGCUAACUACGU